AUCCAGCUGACGUGUCCAAAGUGGGACGAAACGCGCAUCCUGGAU
rnacentral:hammerhead_ribozyme from 1 species